GGUCAGCAAUGGCAGUGGCGGACGGGUGAGUAACACGUAGGAAUCUAUCCUGGGGUGGGGGACAACAGCGGGAAACUGCUGCUAAUACCGCGUGAUACCUGAGGGUCAAAGGCGCAAGUCGCCUUGGGAGGAGCCUGCGUCUGAUUAGCUUGUUGGUGGGGUAAAGGCCUACCAAGGCGACGAUCAGUAGCUGGUCUGAGAGGAUGAUCAGCCACAUUGGGACUGAGACACGGCCCAAACUCCUACGGGAGGCAGCAGUGGGGAAUAUUGGACAAUGGGGGAAACCCUGAUCCAGCAAUGCCGCGUGUGUGAAGAAGGUCUUCGGAUUGUAAAGCACUUUUGGCAGGGACGAUGAUGACGGUACCUGCAGAAUAAGCCCCGGCUAACUUCGUGCCAGCAGCCGCGGUAAUACGAAGGGGGCUAGCGUUGCUCGGAAUGACUGGGCGUAAAGGGCGCGUAGGCGGCGCGUACAGUCAGAAGUGAAAUUCCUGGGCUCAACCUGGGGACUGCUUUUGAUACGUGCGUGCUUGAGUGAGGAAGAGGGUUGUGGAAUUUCCAGUGUAGAGGUGAAAUUCGUAGAUAUUGGAAAGAACACCGGUGGCGAAGGCGGCAACCUGGUCCUUUACUGACGCUGAGGCGCGAAAGCGUGGGGAGCAAACAGGAUUAGAUACCCUGGUAGUCUACGCUGUAAACGAUGUGUGCUGGAUGUGGGGAAAACUUAGUUUUUCAGUGUCGUAGCUAACGCGAUAAGCACACCGCCUGGGGAGUACGGCGCAAGGUUGAAACUCAAAGGAAUUGACGGGGGCCCGCACAAGCGGUGGAGCAUGUGNUAAUUCGAAGCAACGCGCAGA
rnacentral:rRNA from 1 species